GACGAACGCUGGCGGCGUGCUUAACACAUGCAAGUCGAGCGGUAAGGCCCUUUCGGGGGUACACGAGCGGCGAACGGGUGAGUAACACGUGGGUGACCUGCCCUUAGCUCUGGGAUAAGCCUGGGAAACUGGGUCUAAUACCGGAUAUGACUCCAUGACGCAUGUUGUGGGGUGGAAAGCCUUGUGCGGCUAGGGAUGGGCCUGCGGCCUAUCAGCUUGUUGGUGGGGUGAUGGCCACCAAGGCGACGACGGGUAGCCGGCCUGAGAGGGCGACCGGCCACACUGGGACUGAGACACGGCCCAGACUCCUACGGGAGGCAGCAGUGGGGAAUCUUGCGCAAUGGGCGAAAGCCUGACGCAGCGACGCCGCGUGGGGAUGACGGCCUCGGUU
rnacentral:rRNA from 1 species